ensembl:lncRNA
UGAAAACAAAGCAACUUCAUAGAAAUGGCUCACUCUGGACAUCACCAGGCAACACUCUCAUCAAAUACAUAGGACCACUGUGCUGCAUUUUGGGGUUAAUUGCUGAGGCCAAGCUCCCUUCUUUCUCCCCCAAUCUAGGAGAUGCUUUUCAUGCCCAUCCUGGGGACCAAGUUCACAGUUAUGAGAGCAUCCUCAGGUCUCCCUGCUUCAAUUAUUGCACCACCGUUAUAAUAAAGUCGAGAGUCUAACAGAUGUAAUUCAAAGAGUUGAGUUACCAGGUUUUUCUGAAAUCUUGUAAAAUGUCUGUUCAUCCUUGACUGGGCGGGGGCCAUUCUCUCUGAAGAAAGAAGGAUCCCGUGACCCAUGAAGCAGACUACCUCCUGGAAAGCACAGUGCCAUAAUAUGAGGGCCCAAAAGCUCGAAUUCAUCCUGCCUGGAUUGAGAACACUAUGGUUCACCUUCACCCUGGCGCUUCUAUCCCUCCUGAGACCAAGGACAACUAUAUGUAUCUAUUUGAUUUUAAGCAGAAGUCUAUGUUGGACAUAUUAACUUCUUUAUUCAGUGGAGAGGGUAUCUGCCCACUGGCUUCACAGAGGUGUCAAAUGACAUAAUGGAUAUGAAAACUCUAUGGGGAGAAAAGAAAGAUAAGAGCUUCACAAAUGUAAGGCAUUAUUAAUGUUAAUUACUUGCCAGUGAUAUGCAUAAUGCCUAGAAUCAGUGAAUUCUAGAGCUGGGAAGAAACUUUAUAAUCACCCAGUCUAAUCCAUCAUUUCUCUAACACAGCCUGCAGAGAGAGGUCCUUAAACUGCCUGGGUCAGAGAGAAAGCAAGAUUCCUUCACAACCAGGUCACCUAAUUCCAGGAAAAAUGACUACCAUUUUCUGAUGCUGAUUUGGGUGAUAAAAACAUUUUAUUUCAUUUUACCUCAGAUCUAUGUGAGUGGAUAAAUGGCUCCUGCCUCCCCCUACAAGCCAAAAAAUCCCAAAUUAUAUUGCUUGCCAAUUCCUGCUGUGUAAAUACUUCACUAUGGCCAAUUUCAAGUUAUCAACAUGAAGCCACUGAAUAUGGACUUGUGAAGAGACCUACGCUACUGGAUCCCGCGGUCCAGUAUCAUUCUGGCAGCCCACAUGGCUGAAUUUAAAACUUCUGAGUCUCUGACCUCAAGAGAUUCCACAAGAAGCUGUGGAGUCAGAUUUGUGAACAGAUAAUUAAACACACAAGGUCAUCAGAGUAAGAGUAGAGAAAGUGGAUUUAAGGCACUGUGGGCCUCCAGAGGAAGGAACAAGUUAUUAAAAAGGAGCUACAGAAAGGAGGCGGUCUUUGAGAUGGGGGUUUGAAGACCGUGUAGGAGCACGCUAGAUGAGCAAGGUGACAGGUAAUAGGAAAGAACACAGAGGGAGAGCAUGACACAAGCAAAGGCAAAAAAAAAAAAGACUGUUUUCAGGGCAUAGUUAUCAGUUAGACGUGGUUUAAAUUAUUAUACUAAAGCAGUGCCCAGCCCAAAAGUGGAUGAAGAGAUCUUCUAGAAGUCUCUCUUUCAUAAGACAUGCCCUUUCCACUGACGGGGCACAAACACUCUAGGUAAGCGUUGACAGAAAUACAAUACAAUCUACACAUGUGAUUUUAAAUUUUCUCGUAGCCACAUUAAAGCAAGCAAAAAUAAA